ACUCCUACGGGAGGCAGCAGUGGGGAAUAUUGCACAAUGGGGGAAACCCUGAUGCAGCCAUGCCGCGUGUGUGAAGAAGGCCUUCGGGUUGUAAAGCACUUUCAGUAGGGAGGAAGGUAGUGUAGUUAACACCUGCAUUAUUUGUACGUUACCUACAGAAGAAGCACCGGCUAACUCCGUGCCAGCAGCCGCGGUAAGUACGGAGGGUGCGAGCGUUAAUCGGAAUUACUGGGCGUAAAGCGCAUGCAGGCGGCCUGUUAAGUCAGAUGUGAAACGCCCGGGGUCUUAACCUCGGAAUUGCAUUUGAAACUGGCAGGCUAGAGUCUGUAGAGGGGUUAG
rnacentral:rRNA from 1 species